CAGCCGCCGCGGUAAUACCGGCGGCCCGAGUGGCGGCCACUAUUAUUGGGCUUAAAGCGUCCGUAGCCGGGUUGGUUAGUCUCCCGGGAAAUCUGGCCGCUUAACGGUCAGAAUUCCGGGAGAUACUGCCAGCCUAGGGACCGGGAGAGGCCGAGGGUCUUCCCGGAGUAGGGGUGAAAUCCUAUAAUCCCGGGAGGACCACCUGUGGCGAAGGCGCUCGGCUGGAACGGGUCCGACGGUGAGGGAUGAAGGCCAGGGGAGCAAACCGGAUUAGAUACCCGGGUAGUCCUGGCUGUAAACGAUGCGGACUUUGUGUCGGACAAGCUAUGAGCUUGUCCGGUGCCGGAGGGAAACCGUUAAGUCCGCCGCCUGGGGAGUACGGCCGCAAGGCUGAAACUUAAAGGAAUUGGCGGG
rnacentral:rRNA from 1 species